AUCCAUCCAUCCAUUUUCUACACCGCUUCUCCUCACUCGGGUCGCGGGUAUGCUGGAGCCUAUCCCAGCGAACUGCGGGCAGGAGGCAGGGUACACCUUGAACUGGUUACCAGCCAAUCGCAGGGCACAUAUAAACAAACAACCAUUAGUCACAUUCACUCCUACGGACAACGGAGUCUUCAAUUAACCUGCCAUGCAUAUUUUUGGUGUGUAGGAGGAAACCGGAGUACCCGGAGAAAAACCCACGCAGGCACGGGGAAAACAUGCCCCACACUCCACACAGGCGAGGCCAGAUUUGAACCGAGGUCCUCAGAACCGUGAGGUGGAUGUGCUAACAGGUGGUGUCACCUAAAUUAAAAGAUGAAAAUCAAAAUAAAACAAUCAGGAAAAAAAAUAAAAUCCCAAAACAUCAACAUAUAAGGAUGAAGGUAAAAGGUAAAAUAAUAUGACUUUUGAAAAAGCAGAAGCUUUUUUAGGCCAACCUUAAAUGUUUGACAGGUUUGAGCAGUUUUCAGGUGCACCUUACUCCAGUGGCAUUGUUAGGCCUAUUUUAGGGGGCAACUGCUUCCUUCCAGGAAGCUGCUAGACUAACUACCGACUAGCGAGCGCCUACACGGAACCUGCAUGUCGGUUAUUUGUCUUUUGGGGAAACUCACAGACACGGACAACUGCCAAGAGUCUCAAAAUGAUGCUGUUUCCCGCCACGAAAGGCAGAUAUGAAAGCAGAAAAGGAGUUUGUCUCGCUGAAACAGCAGGUUAUUGAACUACUGCAACAAUGGGACAUUUUCACAGUACUACUUGGAAAACUUGACAAGCUUUGUCACAAUAAUCAUGGACUCAACAAAAAACAAACAAACAAACAAACAAAAACAGACUGGCUGACCUUUCACUGGAGAAACAGCAGGUAGAGUGAGCUUACUUUUUAUCUAUGUCUGUCUAACAGUCACAAAUCUGAAAGUCUUCUUCAGAGGUUUGCUAUUUAGCGACAAGGGAUGGAAAACAUGCCUCAUAAGAACUUCAUUUUUUUGGGUCGUGGGCGUGCUGGAGCCUAUCCCAGCUGUCAUCGGGGAGGAGGCGGGGUACACCCUGAACUGGAUGCCAGGCAAUCGCAGAGCACAUACAAACAAACAACCAUCCGCACUCACAUUCACACCUACGGGCAAUUCAGAGUCUCCAAUUAAUGCAUGUUUUUGGGAUGUGGGAGGAAACCGGAGUGCCCGGAGAAAACCCACGCAGGCACGGGGAGAACAUGCAAACUCCACACAGGCGGGGCCGGGGAUUGAACCCGGGUCCUCAGAACUGUGAGGCUGACGCUCUAACCAGUCCACCACCGUGCCGCCGUUAUCCAAUAUAUCAUCUGUUACCAUGGCCCAAUGGUUAAGAUCAUCACCUGCCACAGUGGGGGACCUAGGUUCAAGACCCCGACUGGACCAUCCGCCAACAUCCCCCGGACUAAUGGCUGUGGUGUCCUUGACACUGAUACCCAGAAAUGACACUGAUACCCAGAAAUGCUCCCCGGGCGCUUCAGCUGUGUUUCAGCUGCCCCCUGCUCCAGUGUGUUCCACUAACAUGUGUAUGUGUUCACUGUGAUGGGUUAAAUGCAGAGAACAAAUUUCGUGUGCAUGCAUGCAUGUUCAUGACCAUAAAAGAUGAUUCUUCUUCUUCUUCUUCUUCUUCUUCUUCUUUAAACUUUUUGUAACCAGUUUGGCAGUAUGCUUCAAGUCAUUGUUCAUUUGAAAGCCCAAUUGGUGGCCAAGCUUUAAAUUCUUGGCUGAUGUCUUGAGAUGUUGCUUCACUAUUUCCACAUAUUGUUCUUUCCUCAUGAUGCCAUCUAUUCCGUGAAGUGCACCAAUCCCUCCUUUAGUAAACAACAUCACAAAAUGAUGCUUCCACCCCUGUAUAGUAUAGUACUUGUUUCACUGUGGAUAAUGACACACUGUUACCAGCUUUAGCCAGCAUCCUUCACAUGGUCUUUCGCUUUUUUUCUUGGGUUGAUAUACACAUUUCGGGCCAAAGCACAUUCAUCUCUGGGACACAGAACCCGUCUCCUUCACGAGCAGUAUGAUGGCUGAACAUUUCCUAUUGCGUUUAUACUUGCGUGUAAUUGUUUGAAAAGAUGAAUGUGACACCUUCAGGCAUCUGGAAAUUGCACGCUUUGUUGAACCAGACUUGUGCAAGUCCAUAAUUCUCUUCCUGAUAUCUUGACUGAUUUCUUUUGACCUUUCCAUGACGAUAUACUAAGAAGCUGUGUGUAUCAUUUUUGGCUAGUUCAUAUACAUCCACAGGCAUGCCUGUAAUUAACUCAAAUUUUG